rnacentral:rRNA from 1 species
UACGUAGGGGGCAAGCGUUGUCCGGAAUCAUUGGGCGUAAAGAGCGCGUAGGCGGUCCGGUAAGUCGGUUGUGAAAACUGGGGGCUCAACCCUCAGAGGCCGACCGAUACUGCCGGGCUAGAGUCCGGAAGAGGCGAGUGGAAUUCCUGGUGUAGCGGUGAAAUGCGCAGAUAUCAGGAGGAACACCAAUGGCGAAGGCAGCUCGCUGGGACGGUACUGACGCUGACACGCGAAAGCUAGGGGAGCGAACGGG